CGGAGGGCACCAAUCAUAAGAGGGAUAAGAAGCGAAAGGGAAGCGGGGGCGUGGUUCUGCGCAAGCACCCCAGCCACCCUUGGCUCUUUGCCUUACCCCCGAGGCAGUGCUGCGGUGGAGUUAGUAAUCUUAGGUUGGUGUUUCUUGGGGCCCCGGGAGGCACGGCAGGACGCCUUCUGUCAGUGUGCGGAGAGCCGACCCGAGGUCUUCCGGUGUCCUCUCCUAGAGGUGCACAGACUUCUGGCGGUGUCUGGAGCUUUUCAGCCCUGGUUAACAGUCCUCUAAUGUUUGGUGGGCUUGAAGCACCUCUGCACGUUCUGUCCGGCCCGCACCCCGUUCCCAGCCUCCCCCUCCUCCCCCCGUGCCCACUCUGCGGUGUCAGGUCAGACCCCCAUCCUUUCAUUGGUGUAGUCUGUAGCCACCCCUGUGCACUGCCCCUUGUACAGGGUGACCUCAAACGGGAUCGUGGAUGCGCUUUUGGCCCGUAGUCCAGGCCAAAACACUAGUCCAGGAAGAUCAGAAAUCCAAGUUUAUUUUAUCUGAAUGUUUAUAGCUAUGGGUGCAGAUUUUCCCCCCAAAUUUGGCAAAAUCGUGGAGUAGAUGUAGUUAGUAAUCGGCUUCCUUCUCCCUUAUUCAUCAUGUCUCCCCGCCCCCAGCCCUGCCAUGCCCAGUGCCCUUAAGUAUCACAUCCUAGUUGAGCGUACCCGCAGUUCUAACUUCAGUGGGCUAGGCUAGAGAUUCAUUCAGGUGGCAAGAUAAACAGGCGGAAACUGGUCCCCCAGGCUCUUAUCAGAGAAGAUCAAGCGAAUGCAGUAGGACCUGCCACCAUCCACCCUGAGAGCCAAGGCAACAACCUUAGAUCCUAGUGUGUAACAACGAGAAAGGAGUCUUUUGUCUCUGUAUUUGGUGUUUGGUGCAGGGCUCUCUACUCAAGAAUCCAGACCUGUUUUUCCCAAUGUAGUUUUAUUUACUUGCAGAAAGUAAAAAAGACAAGGGGACUCAGGUGCAAAGCUCUGUCUCCUAGAAGGGAGGCUUAGCCAUAGCUUGUAUACAGUAUUUGGUUAAUUACACGAUGAUUUCUUUUUUGCAGUUGACUACCUUUAUCUGGUUGCAUUCCUGGCAAGCUCAUUCUGGGUACAGCUGGUCUGCAAAAUACUGUGCUAUAUUUUAACAUUUAGCAAGAAUAACAUUUAGUAAUAAGAUUUAGACCUGCCUGGAUGUUGAGACUCUUGUCCUAAAAACAUCCCUCACUACAGGGAGAAGGAAAGAAAAACAAACAUGCUAACAGAAUUGCCAUUUGCUCAAACCAAAUUAACUUUGUUGUCCUAGAGAAAAGUUCGUACUUGUCUUUGUGAAGUGUGCUUGUUUCACUGGUGAUUAAGAAAAUUGAAGUCUUUCCACAGGGACCUGUCACCUCUGCCUGGAGCUCUACCAAGUUUCAAACCAGCAUUUUCAGACAAAACCUUGUGAAAGUUGGCAUAAGUGGAACCAUUUUAAAAUGGCCAUUCCAGAGGUCCAGCCUGCACGUCUUACUGCUUGAGCCUUUGGAAUGUUUGAACUGGGCAAAAUAACAUUUGGAUUGGGCUGGAACAGCACUGUCUUCCAAACAAUUUGUGAAGUUAACAAGAAAGGAUGCCUCCUGACUCUAGGACUGUAAACUAAAGACAUUCUUUAGAAUUAGUAAACAGCUAUAUGUAGCUAAUAAUUUAGCUUAUUAGCACCAAUACAAAUUCCUUCUUUCUGUUCAUGCAAUUAUUUCCCUGUCUUUUUUCAAACCCCUCCCUUGCCUCAGUCUCAUUAUUGGAACACUAGUUUUCUACCUGAGUCAGUGCCUUUGCAAUAGCUACCCUUGAUCCUAAAUAAAGGGUUGUUGCUUUUCA